UACGUAGGGUGCAAGCGUUGUCCGGAAUUAUUGGGCGUAAAGAGCUCGUAGGCGGUCUGUCGCGUCGGCUGUGAAAACUCGGGGCUCAACUCCGAGCUUGCAGCGAUACGGGCAGGCUAGAGUUCGGCAGGGGAGACUGGAAUUCCUGGUGUAGCGGUGAAAUGCGCAGAUAUCAGGAGGAACACCGGUGGCGAAGGCGGGUCUCUGGGCCGAUACUGACGUGAGGAGCGAAAGCGUGGGGAGCAAACAGG
rnacentral:rRNA from 1 species